rnacentral:lncRNA from 1 species
CCGGCCAGGGUUGCCGUGCAUGUGGCCGGACAGGGCGGGAGAGGACAUCUGGGGUUUUAGGGUCGCACGUGGUGCUUGCAGUCCCCACAAGAGGUUUUCCCCGACGGGUUCCGGCAGCCACGGUGUGCAGGGGGUCCAGGAACGCUGAGAUAAUGGCCCAGGAAGAGGAAGGAACGCGGGUGGCAGCGAUGGGACCUGGGAUGUUGAGGGUGACAGUGGCGAGGCCCAGAACCGGGGGCUGGGCAGGCGGCCUGGCCACAUGAGGAGGGAAAUCCUUGUAUCCGGGGGUCCAUGGCCAGGUAGGGAGGAAGCAGGGAGUCACAUAGAGGGGUGGAAGUGAGUGUAGGGGGAAGGGGCCCUGGCCACGCAGGAAAGGAGGAGAGGGCCCUUGACAGCAGGGAGUCCUGGCGCCUGCAGAGGUGACUGGCAACUGGCAUGCCAGUAACUUAAGAUUUGGGCACUCGCUGAAAAAAUUCUGAGACCUGGAAAGCUAGGAGAGUGCCUGGAGGCCGUUUCGUUACACCCUGUCCUAUAUAGAUUUGAAGUUGGAAAACUGUUAGAUGGCUCAAAAAGUGACUCUCCCGAAGAUGAAGACACGUGUCAAAAUCUCAGCGAGGCAGAAACUCCUCUCCAGACUGGUACAAUCAUGAACGCAAGACUCCCUCAUCCCACAGAUAGCAGUGGGAGGGCCAUCCGCCUGGGUGGAGCAGGGCUCCAGCAUUUCUCCUCCUGACCCCAGCUCCCUAUCACUGAAGCUAAGUUCUAGAAGAUUCACCUUGAGCCAACAUCCAUUGCCAACCCUCCUUUUCUUGAAGAAGACCAACCCCAAGCCAACACCCUCACCAGGCCUCCUCUACCCUGCAUGUGGGUCACCGCCACAGCACAGCCACUGACUGGUGCAGGUCCAUGACCAGGAACCGAACCUGCGCUGCUGUAGUGGAGCACACCAAACUCAACCACUAGGCCACAGGGCAGGCCCCUGUAUUUUCAGUUUCUUGAUGAUGUCUUUUGAAGAGCAAAAGGUUUUAAUUUUGAU